UGUAGCAUCAGGUGGGCGGAGUUGAUUAGCUCAGCAAGUCUAUCUUAUCAGUUAUACAUUUGUAUUUCAUUGUGUGAAAAAAUUCAUGUGUGGCUUGACAGCGUGUGAAAAAUGUAAUUUGCUUGAGUCUCGCGAGAAAGCUUUUUACCCGACGAGACACAGCCAAAAAGGUUAACUGCAGCAUCUGCAAAGCUGGCAACACCGGAGCAUCUGAAGAGGAGGCACGUAACGUUGUGGCUCACUGGAUGAUGGCUCACUCGUCUCGAGAGAACGGCUGACUGAUUGGGGAGGACAGAUGACUAUUCAAGUUUGGGCUGGAGCCAAUCCCAAUCCCUCUUCUGGUUUUCCCACUCAAGGUCAAUAGCGGAAGGAGGGUAAAGGGUGUCAUUCCGUCUCCCGGAGAUGAAUGAAGCAAAACAAUCUAGGCAGCAACACAUACUGUGAUGUCUCUUGGCUCAUGGAACACUGUUGGGAUGCAUCUGUACCCUGGAUGGAGCAAAUACAUGUUUACAUUUUUAUCUCCACUGAAAAGGUUAUUUAUUUAUUUAUUUUGUAA